CAGUCGCCACGGUAAUACGAAGGGGGCUAGCGUUGUUCGGAUUUACUGGGCGUAAAGGGCGCGUAGGCGGACUGAUAAGUCAGGGGUGAAAUCCCAAGGCUCAACCUUGGAACUGCCUUUGAUACUGUUUGUCUUGAGUUCGAGAGAGGUAAGUGGAACUGCGAGUGUAGAGGUGAAAUUCGUAGAUAUUCGGAAGAACACCAGUGGCGAAGGCGGCUCACUGGACGACUGUUGACGCUGAGGUACGAAAGCGUGGGGAGCAAACAGGAAUAGAGACCCCUGUAGUCCCUGUCUCUUAUAC
rnacentral:rRNA from 1 species